UUACGGCCAUAUCACGUUGAAACACCAGUUCCCGUACGAUUACCGAAAUAAAGCAGCGUCGAGCCUGAUCGGUAUCUAGAUGGAUGAUAGCUUGGGAAUACCAGAUGUUGUAAG